AACGAACGCUGGCGGCAGGCUUAACACAUGCAAGUCGAACGCAUCCUUCGGGGUGAGUGGCAGACGGGUGAGUAACGCGUGGGAACGUGCCCUUCAGUUCGGGAUAACCCAGGGAAACUUGGGCUACUACCGGAUACGUGCGAGAGCAGAAAGAUGUAUCGCUGAAGGAUCGGCCCGCGUCGGAUUAGCUAGUUGGGGGGGUAAUGGCCCACCAAGGCGACGAUCAGUAGCUGGUCUGAGAGGAUGAUCAGCCACAUUGGGACUGAGACACGGCCCAAACUCCUACGGGAGGCAGCAGUGGGGAAUAUUGGACAAUGGGCGCAAGCCUGAUCCAGCCAUGCCGCGUGAGUGAUGAAGGCCUUAGGGUUGUAAAGCUCUUUCGUCCGGGACGAUAAUGACGGUACCGAAAGAAGAAGCCCCGGCUAACUUCGUGCCAGCAGCCGCCGUAA
rnacentral:rRNA from 1 species